CAGGCCAUGAUGAUCUGCAGAAUUAUUGCCUACAUUAUUUGGUUAUCUUCUUGUGAUAAAAAUCUGCACUUAUUCUGAGGCCAUG